rnacentral:lncRNA from 1 species
CAGAACUCCUUCCACUUCCCCUUGAGCAUGGUGUUAAACAUGGACAAAUCACCCAGAGAACCUUUCAGAGACAUUGGACACCACCAAGAGGGCUUGGGCUGUCAGUCCUUCCUGCUCUGACCAACUGCUCUGUGUGUGUGGCUCUGGGGGAUUAUAUUUUCAUUCCAGGAGGAUUUUAGGCUUCUGUGCAACCUGCUGUGUCUGUGCUCUGCGCAUUUUGAAGUGGAGAGGGGAGUGUGGACUUCAUGGAGUGGAAAGGUAAAGGUCUCACCAUGGAUGGAAACAAGAAGUAAAAGGAGGUAAGAAGAUAAAAGUAGAGCUCAUAGAGGCUCCAUACCUGGAAGCCAACCCAUGCAGACACUGAGCUGAGCUCAGAGAUCUUGGAGAGGACUCCUGGUAUUCUACCAGGGCUCUGCAGCCUUAGUCCAGAGUUCUGGUUUCUCUCUGAUUUCAGCCAAGAGAGAGGGGCUCUUUCUCUUUGAAAAUAACAUUCAAACAUUGAGUCCAGUGGGUUUUUCCCAUCACACACAAAUGUUCUCACACAUCAAGCACAAG